GCCAGCAGCCAUAUCACCCUACAACUCACAACUGGCAACCCACUGAAGCUCAGCAGGUGUGAGCCUGGUCAGUACCUGGAUGGGAGACCUCCUGGGAAAAACUAAGGUUGCUGCUGGAA
ensembl:rRNA 5S_rRNA 5S ribosomal RNA